GCGGAGUCGUUUAGCUAACAGGCUGCUGCGUACAACACGUGCACAUCUGUUAAGAGAAUCAAUAACGGCGAAGCAGCAGACUGAAGCUGAACACAAGCUCUCAUCACAGUGGGGCAAUGCCUUCUUUCCUCCGAAGCAGCCGGCGUCGUCCUUUUUCUUCCUCUGUGGUCCCGCCGAGCCGGGGGCUUGCAGCGUCGAGGGGUCCUGGAACCUCUCGGCCCCCGGCACCUCUUUGUGGACGUGGUAGGACAGAUUCCUCAUGAUGCACACGCAGUUCUCCACGGACUGGGAGAUGGAAGGUGGGUGUUAAGGUCGCUCAGAGUCAUGAGGCCAUCAGAGGACAAUAGAGCAGCUGGGACAAAGAGACUGAAGCAGGACUUAUUGGUAAGGAUGGAGGCGGAUGGAGACGCCGCUGACCUCUGACAACGCUCUGCAAGGUCAACGGCACGACUGUGCAGGAGCAAGAAAAUCUGACUUAAACCUGCGUGAAGACAAUCAUUAUCAUGGAAAGAUAUAUUUAAAAUGAUGGAUCAAUUUGUUCUGCUUUGUAUCAGUACCAAACAAGGAUUUCUAUUAAAUCAGAAAUAUUUUUUCAAGCUGGG